UUUACACGGGAGUGCUUAUCUUUUGUUCGUGUUUAUAGCCGAUAGCUCAUAGCUUACUAGCUCGCGGUGGGACCAGUGCCUAAUGUUUGUUUGGUUAGUUCAAAUAUUUUUUUACUUAAUAAAACAGUGUACUUUGAUGUUUCUAUUUGUUAAAUGUGUACCUAUGUAUUGUUUUUCAAUCAUUUUGCUUUUCUUUGUAAAUUGAGACCUGUCACUUCAUGUUAGACAAUGAUGGGUUUUGACACAAAAUGUAUUAAAAAUAAGUGUCUUAAAUUUACAUGUAAGUGGUGAUCGACAGUAAAUAUCAUUAUAAUAUUUUCUACAUAGCUUGGGUACGGUCACAGCUGUCAUAACAUAACCUUAUUCAAUUUAUAAGUUUUAUAACCUUAAAAACGCAAAAUCGGCAACAUAUAUAUUGAAAUGACAGCUGUCAUUGUAUCCAAGCUUUGUGUACAAUAUUGUAGGUCACACUCUGUAGUUGAGUCUGUUAUUUUUCAAGUACUGUCGCAGUCAAAAAUAUCUUUACAAUGUGGGUGCUGAAAGAUAUUUAAAUAUGCACUCCUUUAGACGUAUAUUUGUGAAAUAUCGGCAAUAUUUUGAGAAAAGCUCGUACUUUGUUCUGUAAAUCAAAAAUUUUGUGGUAUAUCUAAAUAUAUGCCUUUCAACUUUUAGUAGUGUGUGAAAUACGAGAUUUUUUAAAAUUAGUGCCGAUGUGGUGAAUGUACCUAUAAUUGAAAAAUAAAAUCUAAGAAAUUAAGUGGAAUCUUGGUUAAAAUAAUGAUCGAACAGUAUGAAUUUAUUUAUUUAGUAUUGUAAAAAAAAUGUCCAGAGUCCAAAAAUGUUCUGUCAUAUUUAAAUUAUGGCUACUAACUGUAAAAUAGAUAAUUUGUGAGAUGAAUAAAAUAUAGGGUAAACAAUUAGAAAAUUGUAUGAUUAAUACAGUUCAUUGCAUAAAUCUGAAAAAAUAAAGGCGAUACAGUCGGCAGCGAAAAUAGCUCGAACAAACUUCAUAACAAUCUGAAACCGACUCUGUUCUUCAGAAUAUAAGGUUCAUACAGAUCCGUUUUGAAGAAUUUCUCUUUGCAAAGCUGUUUUUGGUUGCCAUGACAUUUUGAGAAUUCACGGUAAGCUGCUAAUUUUUAGGGUUUCUAUAAUUUGCAUUUAUAGCGACUGCCGAGCAUCUGCUGUUCAAACGUUGUCUGUUAGAAAGAGACAGAUGCUUAUGUCUGGGGCAAUGGACUCUUUAGUCAAAUGGCACUUAAUAACUAUAUCGCACCGUACAGUUUAGAACGGAGUUAAAUUUAGUAAUUUAUGUAAAUAUGAAGAUAUUGUUAAUUUAAAUUAAACAAUGAUUUUUAUUUCA